GUAAGCAGAGGUUCAGAGUUUCUUCCCCAGAGCCCAUGUUAAGAAGACAAGCGGCAUGUGUGAUGCUGUGUGCUGUGAAGCCAGCACAGGGAUGGCAGACAGUUGGCUGGUCAGGGGCUUCUGCAGGGAGAGGCGAUUGUUGCCAAACUGGACAACACACAAGCUCACUUUCCAGGGCCUAUGUGAUCGAAGGAGGUGACUGACAUGUGCAAACUUCCUCUAACUCCUUCUGUCUCUAAGCACAGUGUGCAGUUUGCAUGUGCUUCUCUUGAAUUCUCUUCAAGCAAGGAACUGUGGCACCACAGCCUACUGAGUGAGGUCACAAAGGCAGAGAGAGAGACUUUCUGUUGAUCUUAACAGCAGUGGCCUGUCAAGCCAUCCCAAUGAGAUGAAUUUGAACUCUGAUGCUGUCAGUUACUCAUUGCUAACUCACUCCAACCUGGCAAGCUCUUCAAAUGUAACCGUCAUCUUCCAGCAAGGGGCUCACCCAGUAAGUGGGGAUGUAUCACAGCCAAAGGCACAGCGCUCUGGCAAGAUCCUCGAAGUUUCCAUUUCUACUGUCAAUCUAAUCCAUGUCACCAGAUUUCUUUGGCUUUAAUGUCAUGGCUUUUAGUAUCAUUGACCCAAAAGCUUGCUAAUAUCUAAAAUCAGCAUAUCGAAUGUAUCCAUCUCAUCAUCCAGAAAUGUUUAAACAAAUGAGAGGGGUGUGUGACUUGAAGAUAGCUGGUAUGAAAGCAGAAGUGGGAACGAUCUGAGGGAUGAGAGGAAGUGGGCAGAGGAGAAAUGGGAGGGUUGUGACUCAUGUAAAUGCAAAUGCCAUCAUGAAACCCAUUGUGUGUAUGCUGACUAAAAGAUCAACUUACAGCAUGUUUUAAUAUGAAAAAUAAAAGGAAUGGGGGUUGGAAGAC
rnacentral:lncRNA from 1 species